rnacentral:rRNA from 1 species
AUUGAACGCUGGCGGCACGCCUUACACAUGCAAGUCGAACGGCAGCAUGAUCUGGCUUGCUAGAUUGAUUUCGAGUGGCGCACGGGUGAGUAAUACAUCGGAACGUGCCCUGUAGUUGGGGAUAACUAGUCGAAAGAUUAGCUAAUACCGCAUACGACCUGAGGGUGAAAGUUGGGGACCGCAAGGCCUCAUGCUAUACGCGCGUCCGAUGUCUGAUUAGCUAGUUGGUGAGGUAAAGGCUCACCAAGGCGACGAUCAGUAGCUGGUCUGAGAGGACGAUCAGCCACACUGGGACUGAGACACGGCCCAGACUCCUACGGGAGGCAGCAGUGGGGAAUUUUGGACAAUGGGCGAAAGCCUGAUCCAGCAAUGCCGCGUGUGUGAAGAAGGCCUUCGGGUUGUAAAGCACUUUUGUCCGGAAAGAAAUGGCUCUGGUUAAUACCUGGGGUCGAUGACGGUACCGGAAGAAUAAGGACCGGCUAACUACGUG